GUUGGUUAUGGAGACAUCUACCCUAAAACACUCUUAGGUAAGAUUGUUGGUGGGUUGUGCUAUAUUGCAGGGGUCUUGGUUAUUGCCCUCCCUAUUCCAAUCAUUGUAAAUAAC
rfam:Anolis carolinensis chromosome 4, whole genome shotgun sequence.